GACGAACGCUGGCGGCGUGCUUAACACAUGCAAGUCGAACGCUGAAGCUCAGCUUGCUGGGUGGAUGAGUGGCGAACGGGUGAGUAACACGUGAGUAACCUGCCCCCUUCUUUGGGAUAACGCCCGGAAACGGGUGCUAAUACUGGAUAUUCACUGAUCUUCGCAUGGGGGUUGGUGGAAAGGUUUUUUCUGGUGGGGGAUGGGCUCGCGGCCUAUCAGCUUGUUGGUGGGGUGAUGGCCUACCAAGGCUUUGACGGGUAGCCGGCCUGAGAGGGUGACCGGUCACAUUGGGACUGAGAUACGGCCCAGACUCCUACGGGAGGCAGCAGUGGGGAAUAUUGCACAAUGGGCGAAAGCCUGAUGCAGCGACGCCGCGUGAGGGAUGGAGGCCUUCGGGUUGUAAACCUCUUUCGCUCAUGGUCAAGCCGCAACAUUGGUUGUGGUGAGGGUAGUGGGUAAAGAAGCGCCGGCUAACUACGUG
rnacentral:rRNA from 1 species